GUGCUUGCUUAAGCAGCACAUAUACUAAAAUUGGAACGAUACAUAAGAUUAUUAGCAUGGCCCCUUUGUAAGGAUGACAUGCAAAUUCGUGAAGCAUUCCAUUCACAA
rnacentral:snRNA from 1 species